rnacentral:rRNA from 1 species
UACGAAGGGGGGCUAGCGUUGUUCGGAAUCACUGGGCGUAAAGGGCGUCUAGGCGGUCAGGUAAGUGGGAUGUGAAAUGCCCCCGGCUCACCCGGGGACCGGCAUCCCAUACUGCUUGGCUUGAGUACGGGAGAGGAUGUGGGAAUUCCUGGUGUAGCGGUGAAAUGCGUAGAUAUCAGGAGGAACACCGGUGGCGAAGGCGGGUCUCUGGACAGUUCCUGACACUGAGGCACGAAGGCCAGGGGAGCAAACGGG